GAAACAUGUAAAAACAAAAUGGAUCGUAGUUGUAAAUGUGUGCUAUCUCAUACUUGACACCAUUGCCUAUGCAUGGUUAGUUUUGCUUGAGAAAAAGAUAAUCGAGUUCUAAACAGAAGCUUUAGAGCCUGGAAUGAAAUUGGCUGUCACCCUUCGCUAUCUCACAAAUGGCGCUUUUUAUGCAGAGCUCAUGUAUUCAUUUCGAGUGACUAAAAACACCAUUAGCUUGUUCAUUCCAAAAGUAUUGGAAGCUGUAAUAUAUAAGUACUUAGAAGAGGUGACGCCAGCCGUCGGGACAUCCGAACAGUGGCAAUAGCUUGCCGAUGACUUACAAGCCAAAUGGAACUUUCCUCAUGCAUGUGGAGGAGCACUGGAUGGCAAGCACGUGAGGAUAAAGUGCACACAGGACUCUGGUACCCUGUACUGCAACUACAAAGGUUUUUUCUCAAUCAAACUACUCGCCCUCGACGACGCAGACUACAAUUUCGUAUGGGUCAGUGUUGGUGCUAAUGGAAGUGCGCCCGACUCUCAACUAUUCAACUAUUCUGAACUAAGGACUUUGAUUGAGGAAAACACCCACUGCCCGGCGAUAAGAAGUUCACACCACACCUUAUGAUUGAAUAUGAUGCAUUCCCAUUGAGAACCUGGAUAAAGCCAUACUACUGACGUAACCUAACCGAGGUUCAGCAGGUUCAGUUGAGAGACAAGAGAGUAUGAAAUAGUUCAGCCAUUUUAUUAUACAGAUACUUGUAGUUUCAUCGUAAAACCGCUGAUGUUAUUAAUUUAGGAUGACAUCUCUUUCUCAUGUGUUAUUAAAUUGUCAAGAUUAAUUGUUUUGAAAUAAAGGUAAUUAUGUUU